ACGGAUCUGAGCCCCACGGGGACCCCAUGGAUCUGAGCCCCACGGAUCCGAGCCCCACACAGGGACCCCACGGAUCUGAGCCCCACGGGGACCCCACGGAUCUGAGCCCCACGGGGACCCCACGGAUCUGAGCCCCACGGGGACCCCACGGAUCUGAGCCCCACGGAUCCGAGCCCCACAGGGACCCCAUGGAUCUGAGCCCUACGGGGACCCCACAGCCCCAGGACCCACACACGGAGCCCACAGCCCUGGGACCCACGGGGACCCCACAGAUUUGAGCCCCACGGAUCUGAGCCCCACACAGGGAACCCGGAUCCCUGAGCCCCACAGGGACCCCAGAUCCCUGGGACCCUCGGGGACCCCACAUCCCUGGGACCCACGCAGGGACCCCCACAGAUCUGAGCCCCACACAGGGAACCCGGAUCCCUAGGACCCACAGGGAACCCGGAUCCCUAGGACCCACGCAGGGACCCCACAGAUCUGAGCCCCACACAGGGAACCUGGAUCCUUAGGACCCACACAGGGAGCCCCACAUCCCCGAGCCCCCAUCCCACCGCUGGCUGAAAUCCCACAUCCAACCCCAGGCAACACCUGCAGGCGCCCAGCCCGGACCCGGCUGAAAAUCCCACUGCUUUGGGGCAGCCUACAAGGAAAC
rnacentral:lncRNA from 1 species